rnacentral:rRNA from 1 species
GACGAACGCUGGCGGCGUGCCUAAUACAUGCAAGUCGAGCGGUAAGGCCUCUUCGGAGGUACACGAGCGGCGGACGGCUGAGUAACACGUAGGAACGUACCCCAAAGUGAGGGAUAAGCACCAGAAAUGGUGUCUAAUACCGCAUGUGCUCUUCGGAGGAAAGCUUCGGCGCUUUGGGAACGGCCUGCGCAUGAUUAGCUUGUUGGUGAGGUAAUAGCUCACCAAGGCGACGAUCAUUAGCUGGUCUGAGAGGAUGAUCAGCCAGACUGGGACUGAG